ACAUACUUCUUUAUAUGCCCAUAUGAACCUGGCAAGCUAUGGAAUGUAAAGAAGUAUGUAU
rnacentral:pre_miRNA from 4 species